AGAGUGAACGCUGGCGGUAGGCCUAACACAUGCAAGUCGAACGGCAGCACAGUAGGAGCUUGCUCUUACGGGUGGCGAGUGGCGGACGGGUGAGGAAUACAUCGGAAUCUACCUUUUGGUGGGGGAUAACGUAGGGAAACUUACGCUAAUACCGCAUACGCCCUUCGGGGGAAAGCCGGGGACCAGCAAUGGCCUGGCGCUGAUAGAUGAGCCGAUGUCGGAUUAGCUAGUUGGUGAGGUAAUGGCUCACCAAGGCGACGAUCCGUAGCUGGUCUGAGAGGAUGAUCAGCCACACUGGAACUGAGACACGGUCCAGACCUCCUACGGGAGCAGCAGGUUGGGGAAUAGUUGGACAAGU
rnacentral:rRNA from 1 species